AGCCCUGCGCUUCCCCAGGUGAACCGGGCAGGAGCCUGUUGGGAAGGCAGCGACCCACAUCUGUGUGCACCUUUGUGGAUUUCAGGUUCCGGACGCAGGCGACCAAGCCAGAGCCAGCGCUGUCAUACGCAGAGCACCUGCCGAGCCAUGUGACGUGCUGCUCUCUGCCAGCCCUGAUCGCCUUCCUUUCCAGCAGGACUUGCGCUUCACACUGGACCUUGAGGCCCCAUGGAGAUCUGCCAUUUUGGGCAGGUUCUGCUCACAGUGCCAGUAACUUCACCUAGGAGAAGAGCGACAACUUCAAGGCCGCAUGACCCAUCUGAUUGUCAUCACACAGGUCCCCGCAGGAGAAUUUCCAUGGCGUUUCUCACUCUUUGUUUGCAAAGAAUUUCUUUUUUUAUCGUUUUCUUUUUCUUUUUCUAUUUUCUUUUUUCUUUUUUUUUUGAGACAGAGUCUCUCUCUGUUGCCCAGGCUGGAGUGCAGUGGCAUGACCUCGGCUCACUGCAACCUCGGCCUCCUGGGUUCAAGCAAUUCUCCUGCCUCAGCCUCCCGAGUAGCUGGGAUUACGGGCACACACCACAACGCUCAGCUAAUUUUUGUAUUUUUAGAAAAGACAGGGUUUUACCAUGUUGGCCAGGCUGGUCUCGAUCUUCUGAGCUCGUGAUCCACCUGCCUCGGCCUCCAAAGUGCUGGGAUUACAGGCGUGAGCCACCACACCCAGCCUAAGAAUUUCUUAGAAUUAAUAUCUGCACUUGGCCCCACAUCCUCUGAGUGAUAACUUAGAACUGUCACUUUAAUUGUUGAGAGAGGAUAUUCAGAGAAUAGUGGGUGAUUUUACAAGCAAGGAUAUGUUUGGGGAGCAUGUUCCCGGUGCAUUCUCAGGGUCUCGUGCAUUCUUUUAGACAUUGAAGACAUCCUGAUCUCCAGUGGAAGCAGAGCCCCAGUCAUACACUUAUCCACCGGGGACGAGUUCCAAGACCCCCAGGGAAUGCCUGAAAGCUCGGGUAGUGCUUACCUCUAUGGAUGUUGUGCACAAAUUUAUUUUUCCCUCUUUACAACUUCAUAGAUUGAAGGUUCGUUCUUACCAAAGAUCUUAGCAACCUUAGCUUAUCAUUCCUUUUAUUUCCUGAUUAAGUGGAGAACUUUCACCUUUUCACUAAAAAAAAAAAGUGCUUUACGGCUGCCUUUGCCACGUGCACAUGGUCUUUUGGGACCAUCCUUAAGUCAAAUAAGGGUGACCUGGAUGCAAGCACUGUGAUACAGAGAAAGUCCAGCUCACCACCAAGAUGGCUGCUGAGCCGCUGGUGGGCGCGGAGUGUCGUGUCUGCAGCGUGAACAUGCCGGGCAAAGGAAUAAUGCAUGUCAGGGAUAGGGUGGAGAAGGACUGUGCCAGGCUUCAUCACACUACUCAGAAUGGCACACAGUUUAGAACUUAUAAAUGAUUUAUUUCUGGAGUGAUCCACUGCAUAUUUUCAGACGGUGGUUGAUCGUGGGUAACUGAAAGCAAAACCUGACUGAAAGGGGCUGCUGUGUUCAUGUCAGCAACGCUGAUGCCCUCGAGGCCAGAAGAGUAACCACCAAUCUGGUACCUGAGCACCUGGCUGUAAGUCCACCCUCCAUUUCUGGCCAGGGCCGAGGAAUUCUCUCUUUUUCUCUUUAUUUUCCUCUUGAUUUGAGAAGGUCAACUCUGAGCAUGCUCUAAACACAAAUCAGCAUCUCUACACUUCUUCGGCACCAGGUGUUGCUACUGUCUUUCUGAUUAGAAAAAAAGAAAUAUCCAGGAAUUCUGGAAGACAGUGAUUGAUUUGCAGCUAUGCUGCAAUGGAGCUAAGAAUCAUUAGCACAACCCGUGCUGGUGUUCGACAAGAUGCCCAAUCAAUUCAUCCGAUGACAGGUGCGCUGUGUCUGCGAAGCGCGAAGCCACGGAGUGAGGUGCUGACCAGGCUCCACCAGGAGCAAGGAACAAGACUCCCCAGGGGCUCCUGGUCCACAGAAGGCAGGGACGCCCACAAACAUACCAUGAGUAAAUAGUUCCAAUGUGAAGAAGACUGAAAAUGCCACAGAAGUGUGAGCCCACUGUUUUGAAAUUCUUUCUGCUGAAGGGAUUGAGAAGAACUCUUCCAUAAAGGAGCAUGACCGAGCCAUGAGUUAUAAUAUAUACAUGCAUAUAGAAAGAGGAUGUGAAUACAGUUGCAGAAGGGCGUCAAAGCCAAAAACACACAGGGAAUGACUUGAGGAAGCUGAGGACCAAGAGCAGUGCUAGCCAUGCCAGUGACUGUGGUCGCUGAGAACUGGAUGAUGGAUGUUUGAGUGACCGUCAGGAGGAUCAGCAUGGGACCAGGAGGAUCAGCAUGGGACCAGGAGGAUCAGCAUGGGACCAGGAGGAUCAGCAUGGGACCAGGAAACAGCAGGCGAGUGAAUGUGAACUCCACUCUCAACAGGGAGAUGACGUGGGUCUCGGAAACCUACAGAUCUGAGUGCUUGCUGUCAGGUCAUGGCAGGGCUCUGACUGCACUGUGGAGGGAACAUCUGUGUUUUUGUCCUCCUGGAACCUAGUGCCCCUUUCCUGGAGGCAGCAUCCUAUUUGACCUGUGUGGGUCCAACCCCACCUCUCUCCUGUAGCAGUGGCAUGGGACCCGGGGCUGGGCCAUUCGCAGCAUUGCCACAGGCAGCAAUGGUGAUUGAUCUAGGAGUUGAUCAUUGAUCCUAACUGGGUGCUCAGGCCAAGGGGAUUGAUUCUUGGUAUUUUUUAAUCUCUUUUUUCCACUGGAAUUAUAGCUAAUAUGAUGAAGCCUAGAUAUACUGCGUAUCUGGCUUUUAGACAGGGCAAACCUGCCUAGAAAUGAAAAUGAAGUCACCACCUGUGAAAGCAGAAACAAGAGCUUGAGAGAGACUGAGUCCUGGUGAGAAUUUCUGAACCCCUUGAUCCAGCGAUGCCUGAAGCCAGAACUACUUGUAAACUUUUCAGUCAUGCAAUCCUGUCACUUCUGUUUGUUCUUAAGUGCAUUUUGUAUGGUUUCUGCCGCUGACCACGGAAACGUCCUUCACUAACAGGGAAGCAGAGUUACCCCAUUUGAGAGCCUCAGAAGGAAGAUGGCAUUCAUGCAAAGGAAGCAUGCGUUUGCUCUCACUUCCUGAGAGAAAGCCUGAAAAUGAAGCCAAUCUCAUUUUCUUUCAGAGAUGAGUCUCUUGAUCAGAGAAUGCCUCAGUUCCCUGUAUCUAAAUUUUAGCAAGUGAGAGAAUGCCUCAGUCCCCUGUAUCUGAAUUUUAGCAAGCGAGAGAAUGCAUUUAGGACAAGCAACAGCGAUGGCUCCCGUGUGUUCUUGGCUGCUCUGUUUCUAAAUGAAGAUUCACCUGGAGGCAGCCUUUGCUGCAGGGACACCCAGAUCUCACCUUGUUCUUGUUCUUUUCAAUCAUUUUAGCAAAGGCUCAGCCUACUGAUCCGAUUUAGAGAUGAGCCAUGAAAGCAGAUAUUUAGAUAAUAUUUUCCCAACUGCCUGGAGCAUUAGGUUAGAACUAGUGAGAUAAAAAUAUAAUGAAAAUAAUAGAAAGCUUUGACCCUCAGAUUU
ensembl:lncRNA LINC02418 long intergenic non-protein coding RNA 2418